rnacentral:ncRNA from 1 species
CAACCUGAGCUCAGUCGUGAUUACCCGCUGAACUUAAGCAUAUCACUUAGCGGAGGAAAAGAAACUAACAAGGAUUCCCUCAGUAACGGCGAGUGAACGGGGAGGAGCCCAGCGCUGAAUCUCUCGGUGUUACAUCGUUGAGAAAUGUAGCGUAUAGGUGUGGCUUUCAGUUUGUGCUGCAUGUCCAAAGUCCCUUUGAUAGGGGCCACAUUCCUGAGAGGGUGCGAGACCUGUGCGGACAGUGGAGCAAGCUGUACGGUCAUAUCUUGGAUUGCUCUAAGGCACCUGUUGCAAUAUAUUUCUCAUCUAGAACGAG